rnacentral:misc_RNA from 1 species
UCAAACUUGGUCAUUUAGAGGAAGUAAAAGUCGUAACAAGGUUUCCGUAGGUGAACCUGCGGAAGGAUCAUUAAAGCAAAUGUGUCUAACACAUACCAUUGUGCGAAAGAGAGGUUUUGCGGCUUUUGCUCUAUGAAAAGCCGCGGUUUACCAAGAUGAGAUUAUUUACGCGCCAAAAGACGAUACGUCUAAAUGAAACACACAACUUUAGACAAUGGAUCCCUCGGCUCUUACAUCGAUGAAGAACGCAGC